ensembl:lncRNA
AUGACAGAUUUAUAUGGUAAAGUGACAAAGGGAGUGAUGGUGAAUAUUGGAGAAACUGCCAAUUUCAGUUGUGAAUAUACACAAAAUCAUAUUAAUGAUGUCAAGAUCAUACUCAAAGAAGGAAAAGACUCAAUUGAGACGAUUUACAGCAGAUGGAAGACGAAAGAAAGAUAUAGUAUUUCUGAUGACAAACAAAAAAAUGUCUUCCAUAUGAAGAUUUUUGCUGUGACACCAGAUGAUGGAGGAGUUUAUUUAUGUGGAGUUUGGAUCAACAGACACCCGUACAGUUACUACAUUAUUACUACUGUUGACCUGCACGUAAGUAUGCCUCCAGUAGUGAGACGUGAAGGAGAAUCUGCUGAGAUCUUCUGUCCUUA